rnacentral:rRNA from 1 species
UACGAAGGGGGCUAGCGUUGCUCGGAAUCACUGGGCGUAAAGCGCACGUAGGCGGCUUUCUAAGUCAGGGGUGAAAUCCUGGAGCUCAACUCCAGAACUGCCUUUGAUACUGGAGGGCUUGAGUCCGGAAGAGGUGAGUGGAACUCCGAGUGUAGAGGUGAAAUUCGUAGAUAUUCGGAAGAACACCAGUGGCGAAGGCGGCUCACUGGUCCGGUACUGACGCUGAUGUGCGAAAGCGUGGGGAGCAAACAGGG